rnacentral:rRNA from 1 species
GACGAACGCUGGCGGCGUGCUUAACACAUGCAAGUCGAACGGAAAGGCCCUGCGUUUGCUGGGUGCUCGAGUGGCGAACGGGUGAGUAACACGUGAGUAACCUGCCCUUGACUUUGUGAGAACAUCAGGAAACUGGGGCGCAUAUCGGAUAGGAGCUACUGCUGCAUGGUGGGGGUUGGAAAGUUUCGGCGGUUCGGGCUGGAUUCGCCGCUUAUGAGCUUGUUGGUGUGGUAGUGGCGUACCAAGGCUUUGACGGGUAGCCGGCCUGAGAGGGUGAACGGGCACAUUGGGACUGAGAGACGGCGCAGACGCGUACGGGAGGCAGCAGUGGGGAGUAUUGCAGAAUGGGGGGAAGCCUGAUGCAGCAACGCCGCGUGCGGGAUGACGGGCUUCGGGUUGUAAACCGCUUUCGCCUGUGACGAAGCGUGAGUGACGGUAAUUGGUAAAGAAGCACCGGCUAACUACGUG